rnacentral:rRNA from 1 species
GAUGAACGCUGGCGGCGUGCUUAACACAUGCAAGUCGAACGAUGAAGCCCAGCUUGCUGGGUGGUUUAGUGGCGAACGGGUGAGUAACACGUGAGUAACCUGCCCUUAACUCUGGGAUAAGCCUGGGAAACUGGGUCUAAUACCGGAUAGGAGCGUCUACCGCAUGGUGGGUGUUGGAAAGAUUUAUCGGUUUUGGAUGGACUCGAGGCCUAUCAGCUUGUUGGUGAGGUAAUGGCUCACCAAGGCGACGACGGGUAGCCGGCCUGAGAGGGUGACCGGCCACACUGGGACUGAGACACGGCCCAGACGGCUACGUGAGGCAGCAGUCGGGAAUAUUGCACAAUGGGCGCAAGCCUGAUGCAGCGGCGCCGCGUGAGGGAUGACGGCCUUCGGGUUAUAAACCUCUUUCAGUAGGGAAGAAGCGAAAGUGACGGUACCUGCAGAAGAAGCACCGGCUAACUACGUG